CACGCCAUAAACGAUGAGCACUAGGUGUCGCGGGUAUUGACCCCUGCGGUGCCGCCGCUAACGCAUUAAGUGCUCCGCCUGGGGACUACGGCCGCAAGGUUAAAACUCAAAGGAAUUGACGGGGGCCCGCACAAGCGGUGGAGCAUGUGGUUCAAUUCGACGCAACGCGCAGAACCUUACCUGGGCUAGACAACAUCGGACAGUCCUGGAGACAGGAUCUUCCCUUCGGGGACCGGUGGUUCAGGUGC
rnacentral:rRNA from 1 species